CAUCUGUUCCACCUGCCCUGAUUACUCACUCUCCCAACCUGCUCCCCGCCCUACUUAAACACACUCCAUACCUCUUCCACCUGCCCUGAUUACUCACUCU